GGGGCUGUAACUCAAUUGGAAGAGUAUCUGUUUUGCACACAGAAGGUUAGGGGUUCGAGUCCCCUCAGUUCCA
rnacentral:tRNA from 2 species